rnacentral:rRNA from 1 species
GAUGAACGCUAGCUACAGGCUUAACACAUGCAAGUCGAGGGGCAGCGCAGUGUAGCAAUACAUGGGCGGCGACCGGCGCACGGGUGCGUAACGCGUAUCCAACCUUCCCGUUACUCAGGGAUAGCCUUCCGAAAGGGAGAUUAAUACCUGAUGGUGUUGAAAUUCCGCAUGUUAUUUCAACUAAAGAUUUAUCGGUAACGGAUGGGGAUGCGUGACAUUAGAUAGUAGGCGGGGUAACGGCCCACCUAGUCUACGAUGUCUAGGGGUUCUGAGAGGAAGGUCCCCCCACACUGGAACUGAGACACGGUCCAGACUCCUACGGGAGGCAGCAGUGAGGAAUAUUGGUCAAUGGUCGGAAGACUGAACCAGCCAAGUAGCGUGAAGGAUGAAGGUUCUAUGGAUUGUAAACUUCUUUUAUACGGGAAUAACACCAUCUACGUGUAGAUGCCUGCAUGUACCGUAUGAAUAAGCAUCGGCUAACUCCGUGCCAGCAGCCG